rnacentral:rRNA from 1 species
GACGAACCGUGCGAACGUUAUUCGGAAUCACUGGGCUUAAAGCGCGUGUAGGCGGAUGGGGACGUCGGUCGCUGAAAUCCCCCGGCUCAACCGGGGAACGGGCGCCGAAACGCCCCGUCUCGAGGGACGUAGGGGGACCUGGAACUUCCGGUGGAGCGGUGGAAUGCGUUGAGAUCGGAAGGAACGCCCGUGGCGAAAGCGAGGUCCUGGACGUCUUCUGACGCUGAGACGCGAAAGCUAGGGGAGCGAACGGG